rnacentral:rRNA from 1 species
UACAGAGGUCUCAAGCGUUGUUCGGAUUCAUUGGGCGUAAAGGGUGCGUAGGCGGCGCGGUAAGUCGGGUGUGAAAUCUCGGAGCUUAACUCCGAAACUGCAUUCGAUACUGCCGUGCUUGAGGACUGGAGAGGUGACUGGAAUUUACGGUGUAGCGGUGAAAUGCGUAGAUAUCGUAAGGAAGACCAGUGGCGAAGGCGGGUCUCUGGACAGUUCCUGACGCUGAGGCACGAAGGUCAGGGGAGCAAACGGG